rnacentral:other from 1 species
UAAUCCCUGCCGUGUUCGUUGGGAAUGGAUUUGUGUUGAGCCAACACAAAAUUGAAGGGAGCUUGACUUCUGGUUUGCUCGUGAGCAAACAUAGAGAGGCACCCAAGUAAAACACGAGGUUCAUCAACAACCUCUCCCGACGGCAUCUGGCGGGGAUUUU